rnacentral:tRNA from 1 species
GCAUUGAUGGUUCAGUGGCAGAGUUAUCCCUUUCCAUAAGUAGACCUAGGUUGGAUUCCUGGUCAAUGCA